rnacentral:rRNA from 1 species
UAUUGCACAAUGGGGGAAACCCUGAUGCAGCGACGCCGCGUGAGCGAAGAAGUAUUUCGGUAUGUAAAGCUCUAUCAGCAGGGAAGAAAAAAUGACGGUACCUGACUAAGAAGCACCGGCGAACUACGUGACAGCAGCCGCGGUAAUACGUAGGUGGCAAGCGUUAUCCGGAUUUACUGGGUGUAAAGGGAGCGUAGACGGCAGAGCAAGUCUGAAGUGAAAGCCCGCGGCCCAACUGCGGGACUGGUUUGGAAACUGCCCGGCUAGAGUGCUGGAGAGGUAAGCGGAAUUCCUAGUGUAGCGGUGAAAUGCGUAGAUAUUAGGAGGAACACCAGUGGCGAAGGCGGCUUACUGGACUGUAACUGACGUUGAGGCUCGAAAGCGUGGGGAGCAAACAGG